UGCGCGGUUUGGGCCUUCCGGGUUUCCGUUUGCGGAGCCCGCCAUUGGCUGGGCUCGGUGCAGCUGAAACUGUUGUCCGGCGAAGAAGCUGCGAGGAUGGCGGCGUCCGCAGCACUGAUCCUGCGGGAGAGCCCCAGCAUGAAAAAAGCAGUAUCACUGAUCAAUGCAAUAGAUACAGGAAGAUUUCCACGAUUGCUCACCCGAAUUCUUCAAAAACUUCACCUGAAGGCUGAGAGCAGUUUCAGUGAAGAAGAGGAAGAAAAACUUCAAGCUGCAUUUUCUUUAGACAAGCAAGAUCUUCACUUAGUUCUUGAGAUAAUUUCCUUCAUUUUAGAACAGGCAGUAUAUCACAACGUGAAGCCAGCAGCUUUGCAGCAGCAGUUAGAGAACAUUCAUCUUAGACAAGAGAAAGCAGAAGCAUUUGUCAGUGCUUGGUCUACCAUGGGUCAAGAAACAGUUGAAAAGUUUAGGCAGAGGAUUCUGGCUCCCCACAAGCUAGAGACAGUCGGAUGGCAGCUUAACCUUCAAAUGGCUCACUCUGCUCAAGCAAAUCUAAAAUCUCCUCAAGCUGUGUUACAACUAGGAGUGAGCAAUGAAGAUUCAAAGUGUUUUCAGAUCAGGUACAGAAGGUCUGAGUUUGGUAUUAAUGCAUGAGACCAGCUUAGACAAUGAGUUCUUUGUGUAUUCUUGAUAUAAGUCUCUAUGAGCCUGGAGAAAGUUCUUAUGGAAUUCAGUCACAAGGAGUUGUUUGAUUUCUACAACAAGCUAGAGACCAUACAAGCACAGCUGGAUUCCCUUACAUGAUGUUUUCGAAGACUGGUUUCUCCAUCACACUCCUGCCACUUCAUUAUUUUGCAUUGAAGACAGAUUGCCAAGCUGUGUUUUCUGAAGGAUUCAGUGGCUUUCUUCCUGUAAAUUAUAUGGCUUAUCGCUUCUUAGACAAAUAACAGCCAAGGGAGAUCAUUGUUUAGAGCACUGAGGUUCUGAUUACUUUCCCUAGUUCUGUGAGCCAACAAUUGUUAAGAACACUUUGACUCGAAAGAAACAGAAAUGACUGUCAUACUGUUUUUACUGUCCUAUUGUUGCUUUAUUGCCUGACAUGUUUGUGUUUUAUUUGCUUGAUGAUACCUUAUAUAUCCAGGAAGGUCCAUGGAUACAGGGCAUAAUGUGUAGCUUAGUAGAAUGCAGAAAUCAGUAAUUACAUUAGUAAAAGUAAGAAGGCAGCCACGUGCAAUCAAAUACAUUGCAGUAUUUUCCCUUGAAUAUAAUGAAUACAUUUUGCUUGGGAAAUAAUAUAGGAAAGAAAUUUAUAAUAGAGCUAGUAGUAGUAUGUUAGUUAAUUUGAGUAUGCGCUUCUCUGUCCAUUUUAAUUUUUUUCCUGCAUUUAAUGACUUAAUAACAGUCUAGGUUUGUGUGUGCUUAUCUUUAUCCUACACAUUAAUAAUGAUUCACUUCAUAGUGUGAGAUACAUUCAGAUCAUGAAUAAAAACAGUAGUAAUGAGUGCUAAAUGAAUAUCCCUGAAAUUUCAAAAACAGUUACUCUUUACAUUCUCUUUCCGUAAAUAUGUUAAUUGAUUCCAGACAAUACAACUUUUAUGUCUUAGGAUUAGUUGAACUAAAGUUCUCAAUUAUCUAAUGCUAUUAAAUAAGUAAUUGAUGUGAGUAUGAUUACCUGUAAGAAAAUAAUAUAAAUUGAAUUCUUUAUGAAUGAAAUACUUGUCCUCCUAUUUCCAGAGAGAAAGACUGAUUCAGACAUGACUCAUGAAUGGACUCUGAUUUUAGAAGCAUCCUACAGUUAAACAGAACCAUUGAAAUUGUAUCACAUUCCUUAUAUGAGAUAUCUGGCUAAUACAAGUGUUAAAUGUCUCCCAAAUAAAUGUUCAGUAUGUGGAAUCUGCCCA